UACGUAGGGGGCUAGCGUUGUCCGGAUUUAUUGGGCGUAAAGAGCGUGUAGGCGGCCAGGUAGGUCGGCUGUGAAAACUCGAGGCUCAACCUCGAGACGUCGGCGGAAACCAUCUGGCUAGAGUCCGGAAGAGGAGAGUGGAAUUCCUGGUGUAGCGGUGAAAUGCGCAGAUAUCAGGAAGAACACCCGUGGCGAAGGCGGCUCUCUGGGACGGUACUGACGCUGAGACGCGAAAGCGUGGGGAGCGAACAGG
rnacentral:rRNA from 1 species